rnacentral:rRNA from 1 species
GACGAACCGUGCGAACGUUAUUCGGAAUCACUGGGCUUAAAGCGCGUGUAGGCGGGCGGGUACGUCGGCGACUGAAAGCCCCCGGCUCAACCGGGGAAGUGGUGCCGAAACGGCCGGCCUGGAGGGGCGUAGGGGGACCUGGAACUUCCGGUGGAGCGGUGAAAUGCGUUGAGAUCGGAAGGAACGCCCGUGGCGAAAGCGAGGUCCUGGACGCCAUCUGACGCUGAGACGCGAGAGCCAGGGGAGCGAACGGG